rnacentral:lncRNA from 1 species
CAGAGAGAAGAAAAUCUUAUCUCUAGACCUCCUUCGCAUGUGAGAGCUGAUCAAUGGGAGGUAUACUUGUUCGUUAUUGGGGACAAGAAGAUGUCUAGGUAUUUGUUCUUUUGUGAUUAGUUUCCUUUUAUAUAAUGAAAUUAUAUAUUAUAUUUUUAAUUACAUUAAUAACUUUUGUAGGCAUAAUGUGCACGAAACAAAAAUAACAGAAAGAUGUUGGG